CCUGCACUUUAUCAUGUAUACGACUUAAUACUGAUGGUCAGUGUUACCUCACGACGCGCCCUGUUAGGGGAAGACGCGUCCUCCCAAAUUAUCAACCCUGGAAACAUGACUUUGGAACUCGGGGUGCGUCCAACUAGGAGGAGGCGCGUCUUUGAAGCAUCUCCCUUCUCAACCUUAUUAUCCUGGGGGCGCGCCCUCAUGCGCUUCCUCAAGUGAUGAGUACUUCCGAGAGGGCGCGCCCUAGGGAGGGACGUGACCUCUUCAAGACUAGUGAGCUCCUUCCUGAGUAUGUUUGUCUUCACAAAAUAUCAUAUGAAGCAAUUAAUGCAUCAGACAUACCAGAGGGCGCGCCCUGUCAGAGGGAGGCGCGCAAUUCGUUCUCUGAUAGAAUACUGGUUGGAUAUGGCGUACCCCUUUAGGAGGGCGCGCCUUGUUGGAGGAAAGUGCGACUACUCCUCACGGCGAAGAGGUGUAUUCCUCAUAAAGGUAACACCAUAUUACCUGUGAAUUUACACAUGUAGUAGUCUUAGGGAACCAAAUACUGGGGGAGUUUAGUAUUUACCUGAGGGCGCGCCCGGUCAGGGGAAGGCGCGCACCCUUACGACUUUUCGAGCUAGGUUCCAUCUCAAUAGCUCGCCCUUCGUAACCUUCCCGUUCAUAUCAUCACACGUGGUCAGGCCUUCAACAUGCGCCUCUCGCGAACCUCAAAUUACUUGCUCUGGGGAGGGCGCGCCCCUUCAGAAAACCGUUGAGGCUUCCAGGGAGGCGAUCUCCUUCUCGUAAAGACUCAAACCACAACAGACUUGUUAGCAAUAACAUGCGAAAGCAUUGUGAGAAUCUUACCCGGAGGUGCGCCUUCUUCGGAGGUGUUAGGGAAUUCGUUCCUCACGGUGGUAGUCGAGCACCACAUCACUUGGAGGCGUACCCUGUCAGGGGGAGGUGUACCCUGUCCGGGGGAGGUGUACUCUGUCCGGGGGAGGUGUACUCUCUCCGGGGGAGGCGUACCCUCUUCGUAGGUGUCAGGUCUCCGAAAAUCACAUCCUUCGCUGACUCCCCGGUCCAGAAAACCCUGAUCGCAAAUUAGGUUACCUCCUAGAAUUUCGUUGAUGAUCGUCCUCCUUCAAACUCCCGAUGGAGAUAUCGUCCUUUUUCUGAAAAAGUAGAUGAAGGUCUCCUCCUCUUUUGUGCUCUAGCCAUCGCCCUGCCGGAAAACGCUCCUCCUCUACGUGCGAAUCUCCGUCGUGUGACAUCUCUUCCUCCUAAGAUGAAGAUCUUGAAUAGCCCCUCCUUCUAGCGCCAAUUUGUUGAUAGAGGAAUUUGGUAAUCAACAAAGAUGAGGUUCAUGGCCGGAAUCAAGAUCCGUGACGGUGGUUUUGGUCGCCGGAGAGUGGUGGUUGUUUGUUUUAGGGGGUGGCUGAGAUUAGGGUUUUGAGUUGGUCUCACGUGCUCUCAACUCAUGAUCCCCCAAUGUGCCUACGUACCCCUAUAUUUAUAGGGGAUCAAGCCAUACGUAGUUCUAUUGAACCAGGAGUCCUAGUUUGAUCAGGACUAGGCCUCUUGGCGAUAAGGUCGGAGAUAGGCCGAAGGCCCAUCUUGGAGAAUCCUACUCCUGUUAGAAUUAGUCUUGAGUAUGACUACCUCAGACUCCUAAUCCAAAUAGAUCACGGAUUCAACGAUAUCUCCACUACGAGAGAUAGCAUCUACCACGACUCUUAUGGAGAAGUUAUCUGGGGGAGCCAUGACUAACCCCUCGAGGUGCAGGGACACGUCCUCACCUCUCGGUGAGGUCUUCAUCUUCAAACAAGGUAGACAAGGAGCCAAAUUACACGAUCGUCUCAAUCCCCCGAUGAGGGCUAACUCACCAGAAUACAGGAUCCAGACAUAUGAUCGGCCUUCGUGUUACCCCGGAGGGCCUUCAAGAGCCAUGAUCACCUCAAGCCCCCACACGAGGGUUAACUCGGCAGAUAGCAGGAUUGAGGAUUGUAGAUCAUGCCCGGAUGAGCCCGGGAACUAUCAGAUGAGCCUGAUAACUACCAAAUGAGCUUGGUAACUAGUCUUCAUAUCCCUCGGAAGGGUCGUCACGGAGACUCACUCAUCCUCUUUCUUUCAUCAUGUAUUUCAUAACUAUGCCUCUUCUGAGUCAAAGGACGCGCCCUGAUAGGGAGGACGUGUCCUUCCCAAUUCCCGUCUUCAUCCCUGUUUACUGGACAAGAGACCGCACCUCCCGGGCCAUGUCUGGGGAGGGCGCGUCCUUCCCUUAUCUUGUCUUCAAUCCUCCUUACUGGACAAGAGACCGCACCUCCCGGGCCAUGUCUGGGGAGGGCGCGUCCUCCCCUCCACAUGAUAUACAAAAACGGCUACAACACCUCGGAAGAGUCGUCGUAUCCCCCGGAGGGGUCGUCAUAUCCCCCCCGGAGGGGUAGGUCUUCCUAUCCCCGGAGGGACGGUCUUCGUCUCCCUCGGAAGGGUUGUCUCAGCGAAUGUACACUCUCCCAUAAGAAGAGCCUUCUUACAACACAUCAGACAGGUCCUUCUUUAACAUGAGGUCGCGCCCCCGGGGAGGCGAGGACACCCCGUUAAAGGCACGCCCUUGGUCUUCAUCUCAUUGUCAACUUCUUACAAGGGACGCGCCCCUCGGUCACCUCCGAAGAGGGCGUGCCCUCCUCCACAUAUUACAGGACGUGGGUGGACGGAGGUCGGUCGCGUCUCUCCAUCAACACUCUCAAGUAAGGCGUCCCUCCUUGUGACUCGGAGGACGCGUCCUUUUCAAGCAACACCAAGGGUCGGUCGCAUCCUCCCUUUAUAAGCAGGAGGACGCCUCCUCUUCACGCAACACCAAGGGUCGAUCGCAUCCUCCCCUUAUAAGCAGGAGGACGCGUCCUCUUCAUGGGACACGUGUGACCUGGAGGACACAUCCCUCCUUCCGACGCGGAGGACGCGUCCUCUUCAUUAAGAUACGCAACAUCGGCGGAUCAGUCGCGUCACGGAGGGCUGCGCCCUUCCGUUCAGACUAGUCUCUUCAAGGGUCGGUCGCGUCCUCACUUUAUAAGCAGGAGGACGCGUCCUUCCUUUAUAUAGGACUCUUAGCCCAAUUCAUGUCUUACUUAGUUAAACUAAGUACAUACUUGGCCCAACAAGGACCUAGCCAAAUUUGGCUAUAACAAGUACUCCCCAAAUUUUCUUGAUAUUGGAGAUAUCAGGGAAAUUUUUACUCCAUACCACACAUCCUCUUCCGAGAGCGCGUCCGCGCAUAGAGGCGUGACGUAAGCCACUUCUAUUCCUCGACAUUCCAAGAUGCAGGCUGUGCACAAGCCUUGCAUGUAUAUAAUGUCGGUGUCUUUGAUCAUUUAGCAAAGUUGCUAAGCAUGAGGCUGUCGCGUCUUCUUGAUGUGUUCAUAAAUAAUAAGCAAUCUUUAUGUAGACAAAAGAAAACAGGGGGCGCGGCCUAUCUGUCGUUGACAGUGGCGCAGCUUCGCUUAUUCCUUCCAAAGGACACAUUCAACCAUAACAUUCGCGCCAAUGAACUUCAACAAAAGAAGGGCGCGCCCUCGCUGUGCGAAGGUUUGGGGGUUUUUUUUUUUUUAGCCUUAGUGUGUCCAUGGUACCUGGGAAUAGUAAAUAUAAGGCGCGACUUACAGAGUGGCGCUGCCUUGUUAUAACAUGACCCCUUUUAAUUCUUUUUGUUAAAGAAUUGCCUAAGCAGAGGGCGCGGCUGAUGGCGCUGCCUUGCAAUAUUUCUUUUCUUUCAAGGACUGUAUAAGCAGAGGGCGCAGCCUUACUUGUAAUGUGGGCUCUUUUGAUCUUUUCCAAGGAUUAAGUAGAGGGCGCGGCCUUUGGCGCAGCUUUACUUUUUCACGCGUGAAUCACUUGCUUAAGAAAAUCAAGAGGACCACUCCCCAGUCCAUACAUCUUCCCAUAUGGGGCAUCACGAAUCUUAUCGUGGUUUACAUAACUCCGGUGCAUCGCACAGGUCCCAGAGCUCAUAGCUCAAUGGGGAAUGAAUAGUAUAAAAUGUUAUCCAGAGCAUAUCAUGGAUAUGUAAGAUCCAGAGCGUAUCAUGGAUGCGCAAGUAUAAUGUCCAGAGCGUAUCAUGGAUGCGCAAAUAUAGUAUCCAGAGCGUAUCAUGGAUAUGUAAAUAAUCAUAGCAUCCAGAGUAGAUCGUGGAUGACAUCCAGAGCGUAUCAUGGAUGGUUAAAAUUCAUAGUACCCAGAGCUGGUCAUGGAUAAUUUGGUAACCUUUGAAAGGCCUUAAGUGUACCUUGAUCAAAGACCUUGCAGGUAUCAUGCUACGUUCCUGUAGAACGGAGGGCGCGCCCUCAUCAAGAUGGACAGCUCCUUUAGCAUGUUGGACUUGACCUGCACUUUAUCAUGUAUACGACUUAAUACUGAUGGUCAGUGUUACCUCACGACGCGCCCUGUUAGGGGAAGACGCGUCCUCCCAAAUUAUCAACCCUGGAAACAUGACCUUGGAACUCGGGGUGCGUCCAACUAGGAGGAGGCGCGUCUUUGAAGCAUCUCCCUUCUCAACAUUAUUAUCCUGGGGGCGCGCCCUCAUGUGCUUCCUCAAGUGAUGAGUACUUCCGAG
rnacentral:lncRNA from 1 species